rnacentral:lncRNA from 1 species
GCUCUUCUCGGGGAGUGGAGUGCUAUGACAGAUGAGACUUUCAUGCAAGAAAAUAAAUCCUGCACAUUUGAUGUACUGCUUUAAACUUAAAGACCUCUUUGGACCCGAAAUUGUAAGAUCCUGAGUGGCAACUGGAAAGGAUUCGUGGUUACUUGGAUCUAGGAAAAUCCUGUUUUAUCUCUGAUGGGACUAAGACAAAGCACUCCUGUUAGUACAACCCAGCUUGCGUUCCUCCCUGCCUGCAGAGGAAGCAUUUGGAUGCUUCCCUUCCCGUUGGAAGUUGCCAGUCUCUCUUCAGAGUGAUGAGGGCAGAACUGGUCAUUACGGAAAGAGUCGGAGGAACGGUGCCACAGCAUCAGGUUCAGGUUAACCACCUGGGACGGUAAACUACCGAAGUCUGCUUCUGCUUCCAAAGGAGAACCGCAGUGAAAGGAUUCUAUAAACCUGGAGAGUAAUCCUAAGAAAAAUCAUCAGAAGAAAGGAAUUUGUAGAACUAAAACUGCAAACAUCCAGAAUCUUGAUGGUGUGCCAAGCCAAAUGUCAACUGGAACUCAACCAAAAACUAAAGUGCUCUCUGAUAACAGACCCAAAGAAAG